UGCCAGUAGUCAUAUGCUUGUCUUAAAGAUUAAGCCAUGCAUGUCUAAGUAUAAGCAAUUAUACAGCGAAACUGCGAAUGGCUCAUUAAAUCAGUUAUCGUUUAUUUGAUAGUACCUUACUACAUGGAUAACCGUGGUAAUUCUAGAGCUAAUACAUGCUGAAAACCCCGACUUCGGAAGGGGUGUAUUUAUUAGAUUAAAAACCAAUGCCCUUCGGGGCUCACUGGUGAUUCAUGAUAACUUCUCGAAUCGCACGGCCUUGCGCCGGCGAUGGUUCAUUCAAAUUUCUGCCCUAUCAACUUUCGACGGCUGGGUCUUGGCCAGCCGUGGUGACAACGGGUAACGGAGGGUUAGGGCUCGACCCCGGAGAAAACGCCUGAGAAACGGCGUUUACAUCCAAGGAAGGCAGCAGGCGCGCAAAUUACCCAAUGCCGACACGGCGAGGUAGUGACGAGAAAUACUGAUACAGGGCUCUUUUGGGUCUUGUAAUUGGAAUGAGUACAAUUUAAAUCUCUUAACGAGGAACAAUUGGAGGGCAAGUCUGGUGCCAGCAGCCGCGGUAAUUCCAGCUCCAAUAGCGUAUAUAAAGUUGUUGCAGUUAAAAAG
rnacentral:rRNA from 1 species